GUGCAAUCCGUUCGCAAAUCCGACGGACGGAUCUGCGGAGAUUGCACGUUGAUCGAGGAGAGGUCGGUGAGGGCAAAAUGGUAUUUUUGCAAAAGUCGUAAUAUUUUAUGUACCGUUUUGUGUGAAAUCGCAGGUGGAGGUGUUUUAGCGCGUUUUACACGUGCUGUGAGGGACUCGGAUUAAAAUACCGAGUUUGGAGGUACUUUCGCGCGAUUAAUGCCUUAUGUAUAUAAGGUAUUCUAGGGCUUUAUACUUUGUAACCCUAACCCUAGUUCUCCCUACGCCGCCAGCCACCUUCACCCUGCUCCCCUGCCCUAGCCGCACGCCCCUUGACCGUCGCCGACUGAUCUCCGACCAGCCACCACCACCUCAGCCUCUUUUUCUUCCUCUCCCUCUCUUGUUUCCACUUUCCUCUCCACCAUCAUGGACCCGAGCUAAGGAGGAUCACUCGAACCCACCCCCUCAGCCGCCUCCACCCUUCCCCAACCUCUGGCCGCCGGCCCCGCCGCCCCGAACCGUCGCCGAGCGCCGCCAUCGCCGCCACUGCUGCUUGC
rnacentral:lncRNA from 1 species